rnacentral:rRNA from 1 species
UACGAAGGGGGCUAGCGUUGUUCGGAUUUACUGGGCGUAAAGCGCACGUAGGCGGAUAUUUAAGUCAGGGGUGAAAUCCUGGAGCUCAACUCCAGAACUGCCUUUGAUACUGAGAAGCUUGAGUCCGGGAGAGGUGAGUGGAACUGCGAGUGUAGAGGUGAAAUUCGUAGAUAUUCGCAAGAACACCAGUGGCGAAGGCGGCUCACUGGCCCGGUACUGACGCUGAGGUGCGAAAGCGUGGGGAGCAAACAGG